AGUUUGCUGCUCUGAAUUUUUUGCAGACGCAACUGACAUCCCAGGACAAAAAUGUUUUUGAUGGUAACUGACUACUCAAAGCAUGAAGAACAAUGCACUGGGUUUAAGCAACGGUGUGCAUUCUCCUUUCCACUCCCUCGUAAUUCCUGGGAUCACUGUGAACACAUAUCUGCUCAGGUUCCUGAAAAAUAUGUCCAUGUCUCUGAGAUGAGCAGAACUGCCAGAUAUCUGUUGAGUGUGGAUUCCCAAUUUAACAUUUCUGGUCAGAUAAGUGCAGUUUGAAGAAGGAUAAGCACCUAACCAAUUACAUCAUGAUCGUUAAGCACUGACAGCCAUCCCUUUUGAAUGCAGCACAUAAAGGUGAUUCUCACCUGCUCUUCACUUGUCAGGAAAGGUGAAAGGACACGCACAGCAUUCAGACCUCAAUGGCUAACAGUAACAAAGGUAAGGGCCUAUUUUUUUUUUCUUACUAUCUAUCUUGGGAUCUCUUGGUUUAGCCUUGGAUUUUUGAUGUAGCAUACAUAUGGCACGGAAGCAUCCACAUACCAGGAAUUUGUGCUGGUCCACCUCCACCAUAGCUUUGGGCAGGAGGCUGGGGAUAGCCACCAAAGCCAGGGCCAGUGGGAGGCACGGCAAACCCAGGGCCUGUGGGAGUUAGGAGCAGAUAACAGAUUUUAGCACACAGCAUUUCUGGUUUCUGGCACAACAUGAGCCACGGCAUUGAGCUGCACAAGAGAUUGUUUCUUUUCUCUCUAUCUGUGCAGUGGCUCACAACCCAAAGCCAUCAAAACUCUGCUAUUAGCAUGCAGGUACUUAUUGGUAGCUAGCAAUCUGGCUGUCUAGACCCUGCUGCCUAAAUUGAUCACUGAACAAUCGCUUGCUUUUCUUUACUACUUUCCCGAGCACAAAGACUUGGUUACAACAGAAAUAACUCCCAAGGGCUGGAUCUUACCUCCGGGAUAAGAUGGCAUUCCUCCAGCCUGGGGAGCUCCAGGGAAGCCCCCUGGGGCAGGAUAUCCUCCUGCCUCUGGAUACCCAGCACUGGGUGGUGCUGCAGGAAAGCUCCCUCCUCCUGCUGGAGGAUAUCCUCCAGGAGCAGCAGGGUAGGUGUACUGCCCAGCGGGCGGAUAGACAGACUCCUGUCCUGUGGGCUGAAAUACAAAGAACCCACGAGAUGUCUGUACUCUAUUACAGAGUGAAAACUCAAGCUACUAAAAUGUCCAUAUAUGUGUAAUAACGUGAUUAGGUUUAGCUCUUAGGAGCAGCAGCAGCAUUCCCUAAACCUAGACACGGGCCUUCUGGCUGGGUCCUCUGAUGCAUCUCCCUAGCAGUAAAAUCUAGCUCAAAGGUUUUCCUCAGCUUUGGCUGUCCCAAGAUCCCCACCACCACGCCAUUGUGCCCAGGAAGAUCACCUUCCCCAGCAGUGCAGUCUAACCUUGUUCAGCCAGACUCAACAAAAAGAUUUUAAUAGGAUUUAGAUUUACAAACCCAAGGUUAGGAUCCCCUAGGCCUGCUAGGAUGACUAUCAAUAUUACAGAAAAUAAUUUCACAUUGACUUUUUGCACUAUUGCAGACUAGAAAACCCAGCAUGGCUACUCUGGCAUCUACAUGGUCUUUUAAAUUUGUGAACCGAAGCUGCUAGAUUUUAGAUGCCGGCUUAAAAAAUAAUCAUAGUAUCAUUUGAGUUAGAAGGGACCUUAGAUGUCAUGUAGUCCAACUCCCUUGCAAUGAACAGAGACAAUUGUGAGGGUUCAGCAGAACGUUGAAUAGGGUAAAGAAAUCCCAAAGUUAAGAAAGUCUGGCUUCUGACACGGUUAUCUCUUUAGUCUGACUGACUUUGGUGUUUCAGAGCGAGUCUGGGUAAAUUGUAAAGCAAAAUAACUGAAGAAUUUACUGCAUAUACUUUGAGUUUUUCACUAUUUUAUGGGACAUAGGCUGAGCUCCAUUUUAAGUCUAGUCAAGUACUACAUAAAUAGAAUUGCCACAAUUACGUUAUGUUCGGUGCCUUACCAAUUAAAGCACGAAGUUGUGUCGAGCUUUGAAAAAAAAAAACAAAACACUGCAACAUCAACCAUGCCUGAUACAUUCCAGGCCUUCCAGUUUCACUGGAGUUUUCAGUCCAUUCAGUCAUGAACUGAAGGUGGAAUAAAGUACUGUGGCUGAAGGACUGGGGGUCAAAGUCAAGUUAAAGUGUCCAAUAUCCUCAGAAAAAUAUUUACUCAGUGUUGUGGGAAAGCUGGGUUCUUGAGCUUGGAUUGCUCAGCAGCUUUACUCCUGAACGAAAUGGCCAGGAUGUGGGCAUACAGGUGGUUUGGGAGACACUGGUUCAGACAAUACCCAGUUCCUAAAGAUCCUCAUAUUUGUUAACAAUUACCAAUGCUUUAAAAAUAAAUCAAUAAAUAAAGCACCAUUUUGCUGAGGUAGUUAGCUAUAUGCAUGAGAAAAUAAAACAGAAUGAAAAUGGCUAAAAACAUCAAGGUAACAACCUAAACAAGAAGCAGCCACCCACCCUCUGGAACAAUGGGCAAUAUUAUAAAAUAUAUAUCGGACUUCCUUCUUGGAGUUCAUUUGAGAUAAAUGCAAAGUCACACUCAGAGAUGGAUAUGUGGGUAAAAACAGCUGCUAUUUACAUGCAUACAGUGAGAAGGGAUGUUGACUCUAAAUACACUGUGAAUGCAACACAGGUAAAAGCCAUACUUACAGGGUAGCCAGGGAAGGCAGGGUAGCCAGAAGGGGGAUAACCUGGGUAUGACAUUCUGGAAGAAAAAAAAAAAUUCCCUGUCAGUCACUACAUGAGUGUGUAGCUGCCACUUGUUGGUUUAGUAACUGUGACGUUACUUGAGCAACUCAGUUACUUCAUUCAGUGUUGCUAAAAGUACUCAUCAGCUACAAAACCACAAACCUUUUCCUUUUUUUUUUAAUUUGUUAUUUUUUUACACAGAACAGCAAGCAGAAUUCAGAAGAGAAGCAUCAUCAACUUUGUAAUUACUUGCUACCUUAAUUAGGUCAGAUAUAUGUUGAAGCACAGUAAGAGUGCUGAACCUCCAAAAGUAAUUCUGGAAUACAGGUUACAGAGCUUGAAGUCUCAGCAGGAAGGGGCUGAGCCUGUGUCAGAACAGAGACAGAAGAGUUAGGCUCAAUUCCAUGCUUGUAUCCUGUCAGCCUGCACCCCUUCACUCACAGGAAUAGCUCCUGAGAGGAGAAUAGUACUUGAUCUAUCCCACAGAGAACCAUCUAAUAGAAAUGUAUCUUUUGCCUGCUUUUGGCUGUUCUUAUGAAAUAGAUGCAUGCACCAAAAUGAUUUCAAAGAUCAAAUAAUGGGGUUUAAACUAAGAAGUUCUAACUUCUUGAAUAACACAAGCCAGAAUUGAUGCUAGCUGUAGCAAGUAUGACAAGUAAACAGGACAGCUCAAGUGUGGGAGGACCAGGGUGGUUCAGCAGCCACACGUCUAUUACUUUGACCUUUCAGUCCCUAUUAAGAUCCCACAUUUGUCUGUCUCCAAAACAUAAGAAAUGACUCAGUGUUUCUUUUCCUGAUGGUAAUAACAUGGUGCAUCCUGCAGAAUUAAACUGCGCCCAGUGCUGGUCAGUGCACCGUGAAAAAGAUUUGCAAAGAUCUGAAUUUUAAUCCAAAGAGCUUAUUUAAGCAUAAGAAGAUAACACUAUAGAUGAAGGUUUAUAUUAGCACAAUACAAACUUACACGUGACAUACAAUAAAUUGAAGAAAAGGGCAUAGAAAAGUUUUGCAAGUGCUUGUUUUCUGAGCCUGCAGGCCUUUCAGUCUUUAAGUGACUGUUCUGCCAAAAAAUGCCUCCGUGAGGCAUUCCUGUCUUGUAUAACUGAAGAGGGAAAGAGGUGGAGGAGCUGCUGGGUGGGGGCCUCACGCAGAACCGACCUCCACAGCAGCUCCAGGCAUGUUGUCUCUUGUGCAAGAGCUGCUGGCUGGAAAGGGAGGGGAUCUGUUUCAUUUUUUAAAAUCCUUUAAAAAUAAGUGAAGCUGCUGUUUCAAAAUUCGUGAGCAGAAAGAGCAAUCUUAGCCUCCCUACAAAUACUUUAUGCCAAUGGAAUUAUUUCUAUUUGUUAUUUCAAAAUACUACUGCCCUCACACUCAAACAAAACACCAAAAUGAGGAAGCAUCCAGGCAAGAGUUCAGCUCCCAGCUACUUCCCCAGUACCCCACAUCUUACUGUACUCCCCCUGCAUUACUUCAUUUGUGCAGGAGAUUUCUGUUUCCUGCUAAUAACUAUUUCAGUCCUUUUUUUAAUAGAAGGACUGGGGGAUUAGAAACAGAAGAAGACAGGAACUGGGAGUUACUCAUUGCAUGUUUAUGAGGCAGUGUCCUAACUGCACAAAUCAGAGAAAAUGGGAAAUAUAAAAAUGAAUUGUAAUACAGUUACUGACUAUUCACAUUCCUAGGUAUUCCGUAGGCAAACAAAUGGACCUGAAAGCCAUCUUCUUGCUGUGUUGUACCACUAAUUCCACAAAUGCUGCCUUAAAUGCCUCUGACUUACUGUAAAAAACAUUAAAACUUAGAGCAGGGUAGUUCAAAUGAGAGCCAAAGCAAUCUUGUAGACAAGUACAGCUAUGUGGUCUCACAGUGAUAAAGCGGGAGAACUGCUUCAGGGGGCUUUCUUCGUAAGAAAGGGAGAAGAACUGUGUGAGGUGACUUGGAAAUCAUAACUGUAAACACUUUAAUCAUAAACACUGCUAAUUGCCAUAUGUUUCCCUCAGAAGAAGCACACGGGCAAUACCUGUGCAGUAUCUACUACUGACAGCUAUGUGCGUUGACUUUUCAUUCUGGCUUUCCACACAUUUCUUUCACUUCUGUUACUUAACCAUGGGCUGCAGCUCCCUUCAGGAAGAAGACAACUGCCAACACUUCCUUUGGGUUUCAGUGUCACUCUUUCCACUCAAUGGGAAAACAGAGUGUCAGCAAAACUGGCCAUUAAAAACCUCCACUCUAUUGCAGCCUUAUGCUCCGUGUAAUUCAAUCAAAGUCACGCUGUUAAGCAGGCAGUAAGGUGAAGCCUGUAAAACGGGUAGGUGUGCACAGUAUCGCAUCUCCUGUGCUCACACUGCUUUUUGUAAGGCAGCAAGCAGCCGGUGGCUGCAGGUCAGCUGUUCCAACAGCUGUACAAAGUGUAAUUAGUAUACAAGUGGGACCCAGCAGUAUUUUAUCUGUACUGAAACAUACCAGUGUUUAAAUUGAUUGAUGAGAUACUUAAUGUAGAAUGAAGUCAGUUUUUUCAGCCAUGUUCCCCAUUCACUGUCAAACAAAUUCUGGCACAAAAGCUUUUUAGGAUUCUGGUUUCCAAGCCUCCUUUGCAAGGAAGGCGGUAUUUGUGAUUAGCAGAUCACCCACCCGUGCACACCUGUGACGUACACGGACUGUUGCAGUGCUUAACUCUUUCCUUACUGGCACCGCGUGGGUUCCAUUUCUGGGACGUGGGUAACUGCUGGUGCGUUUUGGGGCCGGCACCGGGAUUGGCAGCAUUUCGUGUGAUCACCAGCUCUAGCAAGACCCCAGUUCCUACUUCUUGUGUUUGUAACUCAGAAAAGUGACGGCGUUUUCUUGGUCAGACGUACUGUGGUGAAGGGGUCAGGUAAGGACUUCAGCCCCGGUCCCUGCAGGCGCUCCGCAGCCGGCUGCACAGUGCCGUAUGGCGAUACGGGCUUCUUCGACAGCAGGACCCAGAGUCCCUUCAGAACGCACCGACCGGACAGCAGCGCGUACCGAAGCAGCUCUCCUCAUAUCCCGUCUUACAGAUACACGUAUUCACAACAGCAGUACCUGAUUUCGGACCGCCUGCUCCCGCUCCGAGCUCAGCCCGAGGGCCGCGGAGCGGGGCAGAGGCCGCAGCCGCCCGUACGGCCGACAGGAGGGCGGGCUCUGCCCGGUACCGAUACCGGCCCUCCCUCGGCGUCCCGCAGCGGAGGGCAAUGGGAGCCGCCAUCCCGAGGCUUCGCGGGCCUUUCUCGUCGGAAUCGCAGGUUGCCACAGGUUACCAUCCAUGCUCAUCAGAAACGAGGUGAACACAAGGUUGCCUUGCUUCAUCAUACUGCCGAGAGACACUUUGGAGAAACUCCAUCCCUAUGUUGCAGCUGACUUGGAUUCUCUCUCUGAGAAGGCCUGACACAGCAAGCAUACAAGAUGUCACAGAACAGCUUGCAUUUUGAAGAUGCACGGUCAGGAAGCAGCAUGAUUUCUGCUACAAAGACUGGGGCUUUAUCCUGGAAGGAGGAGAACUAUUCAGCAGCCACUGGGAAGAACAGUGAGGUGAAGCAGAGUAGUUUCAUUUCUCUAUAUUUUAUCGCCAUUAUCAAUUAAUAAAAAUGGAAGUGGAGGAGGGGAAGAAAGACUGACCAAGAAGACGCUCUUUCAAUUAAGUUCUGAGUGUGCUAAUAGUACGACUUGUUUAAGUAAAUUGCUGAGCACUAAGAUGCAGUGAGUAAAGACUAGCAUUCAGACAGUAUGAUGGAAGUUAAUAUAACAUUGAUGCUAGUUAUGCUAUUCCCGUGAAGCAUUGCAAAGAUGUUCUGAACACUGCUGAGGUUAACUAAGCCAGUUCUUCACCCCCAGUGAGAAACCAACUUAUGAAAGGUUAAGGCUUUCAACUUACGUGCAAUGGUCAAGACAUUCUGGUAGGAAGAAUGCUCUGAUCUCUGGCUCACAGUUGUGGUUCAGCUAUUGCACAAUACUGUCCAAAACUAUAGUCUGCUACGUUCCUUGUUAUCCUAAUACAAUGUCUGUUAGUAAUUCAGACAGUCCCUGUCCCAGAGUACCUGACGUAGGCUUUAAUGCUCAUGCGUGAAUUCUGGAGACUUGUGUCCACAGUGAGGUGGAUUGGAUUGUGCGCUUCCCGGCUGUAAUACUCGUGGAUCAGGACAGAAUGUUCUGUGAUGUCGUGACCUGUUGCAUACCUUGAAUAAAGCAAAUGUUGAAAGAGCAUUCUUCUAAUGUUCAAAUGCCCAGCAUUUGUUGAUAUUUAACAGGUUUGUAUUCUAAAACCCUAAUGUCUAAGCACUGAGCUGCAGACGCAUAGUAAAGACUAGUAUUUUGACUAGGGCAUGUGUAGUCUUAUGGCUCUCCUAAAAUCAUAGGCUGAGAACACACAUGCCCAA